rnacentral:rRNA from 1 species
CACGUAGGAGGCGAGCGUUGUCCGGAAUCAUUGGGCGUAAAGAGCGCGCAGGCGGCUUGGCAAGUCGGGUGUGAAAUCCCGGGGCUCAACCCCGUGACUGCAUCCGAUACUGUCAGGCUAGAGGUAGGUAGGGGGAGAUCGGAAUUCCUGGUGUAGCGGUGAAAUGCGCAGAUAUCAGGAGGAACACCGGUGGCGAAGGCGGAUCUCUGGGCCUUACCUGACGCUCAGGCGCGAAAGCGUGGGGAGCAAACAGG